rnacentral:lncRNA from 1 species
CAUAUGAGAAGUUCUGCCUAAAUUUUUCUUCCAUCUAUUUUAACUUGCAUGUACAUGGAUGGCUUUUUGUGUGUUCUUGAUUAUAAAUCCAAAAUAUACCUAUCUCUCAUUUUCUUUUGUUGUCCAGUCUAUACAGUUGAUUUAUUCAACUAAAAAUAUUAAUCUUUUUUUUUUCCUUCUUUUAUAUUGGUCAUUUUCAGUUUUGGAAGCUAGUGUUUUUGAAUUUUUAGAGAAAGAAAGUUUAGAGAAAAGAAUAUAGAUAUUAAGAAUCCAAAACAAUUUUAUGAGUGAGGAAAUACGAAAAUUGAAAGAUACAAUUAUGUUUAUUUAAAAUAUAAAAAAAAGAGAGAGUUUUUUUUUUUAAUAUUAAUAGGAGUAUAAUUGAAAAAUGGAUUUUAAGAAGAUUAUAGAGGCAUGGACAGAUUGCCCAACUCUAUGCAUAAUACACGUGGUUUAGAUUUCGAAGCCCAAUAAAAUAUGUCCACCACAAAUCUCAAACUUAUGUUGUAUUGGACUUGUGUGGUAACAGUGCCACAUCAGUAUACAUCGACCAGCAUUUUGCAUAUACAAAUUUGUACAUGUAGCAUUAUUUUUGUAUUAUAUACAAGCCCACAUAAUCAACUAUACCAUCAUCAACCAAACAUCGCCUUAUCAUGCACCAAGACCGUGAUCGAAGAAUUUUAUUUAGAAACAAUUUAAUAAUAAUUUCAGCAGCAUGUUAAUUAGUCACCUCGUCCUCAUUUCAAAGGAGCAGGCAGCUAACCAUUAAUCUUCUGCCAGUUGCUGAAUGAUGAAACCUUGACACCAUUUUUUAUGAUCAAAUUCCAAAAGAAACAGGAAAGCCUUAGAGCUGAUUUGGUAUUCUGCCACUCAGAACCUCAAGAUUCCAACGACCCAAAACUGGUUAAAUUUGACAGCUCGGGUCAAGGUCAAUGAUAUGAUGACAUCUGUGCCCAAAUUUCAUCUUUGGAAGUUACACAAUCUUGACCAAGGUAAUUAAAAAUCAAAAUUAAGAUCACUUCUCUCACAGAAUUUUAAUAUUGGAAACAUGUAACCACCCGCGACUGCCGAUUAUACUUGGUUUACGCAAGAUUACGAUGUUUGCGUUGCUCAAUUUUGGAGGGGAGACAGCCACUUGCUCCCUGUCUAACUUUUGUAUUCCAUUACUCUUGACUUCAAAACUAAACAAAAAAAGACUGGUAAAUUUUGAUCAUUUGAUUUGAUGUAUGUUAUUGAGAAUAUAAAAUCUACAUUAUUUUUAAAAAGAUAAAAUAUUAAAAGAAUAACAAAAUAAGGAAAGGAAAACAUGCUAUAUUGUUAUUAUUAACGACUUUGAAAUUCACAUUUAAUAUUACGUUUGGACCUGCCAAUUCUUCUUCUUGUUGUUAUAAAUUAAUCCUUUAGUAAAAAUCAUCACUUAAAUUCUUAGGAAGAUUUAUGUUGUAUUACUAAAAAUCAAUAAUCAGAUAUGCAAAAACAUACUUAAAUCAAUAAUGACCAUUUACUCUAUAGAACCGCGUGAUUUGCCUCCUAUAUCAACACCUAUCUAUCAACUAAUGCCCUACAAACACCAUCUUCAAACUACAAUACAACGUUAAAUUAAAGUUAGAUGGUGGUGUCAAGCCGAAUAUGAUUAUAACGGUGUUCGAUUAGAUUCUUGAAUGUAAGAUAUGCAUUUACUAAUACAAAAUGAUUUAUUAGAGAAUGAUUAAUAUAAUUUAAUAAAAGAAAUACCAACUAAUUAAGUUAAUUAUUUUUUUACUACAUUUCAACCAUCUAAUAUAUAUAAUUAGAAAACUCUGAAAUCAAUUAUGUGAUGUGAUAGUCUAGAUAUACGGGUCAAGAAUGAACUAUAUUUAUUUUCAAAUAUUUAGAAAAAAAAUUCAACCUCCACUAUGGACGUGAAAAUAAACUAAACUAAUUUAAUUCUAUUUAAAAAUUAGAGUAAUUCUAAGAUUAUAAUAUAUGAGUCCCAACUAAUGUGUUAUUCAUCAAUUGAGUAGAGGAAUGGAUUAUGUUUGAGAAAGAAAUUGAAGAUUAAUAUUGAAGUGCCACGUGUCGAUGAAAAUUAUAUGACUAAUGAUAAUCACUAGAGGGUACCCAACCUAUACCGGAUACACUUGAUAGUCGAACUGGUAUAUGUGGUAUGUCAUAUUAAAGGCAAAAUAAUUAGAGAAAAUACAUAAAACGCCAACUAUGUGAAAUAUCUCCAUCUCCCAAAAAGAAUAUUUGAUUUUGCAGAAUCAAAUAAGAAAUAUUUUACUUAAAAGGAGGGGCACAACUAACUAUCACACCUACAAAAUGACAGCACACCAAGGACACUGGUCCUCAUCUGACAUGCCAAAAACAGCCAAAACAACCUUUUCAGAGGAGUCCCGAACCACCUUGUAGUGUGUACUACAUGUACAAAAGAACAAGCCACGCCAAACAACACCCAACCUACUCUCCAAGCAUGUUCUCAAUGCUCCAAAUGGUUAUAUGAGCUAAAGGACAGGAAUAUAUUUUGGGCAGACUAAUAAAAAUUAUCCAGGAGGUAGGACAUUCAGGCACCUUAUGGCACUCCAUAAAAAGGCGUUCAUGUUCUAUUUUUCUCAUUCAUGAUGAAAUACAGACACAAUAAGUCUGGUGCUUUCUUCAACCUCUAACCACCCCUAUCAUCAAGAGUUUGCUAACUCUUACCUUAAAUACAAUAAAAAAUACUGACCUCGGUAUCAAAAUGUGGUCACUAGCCACCGUCGGCUCUACCCCAAACCUCUUUUCUCUAUUUUACAAGUUAAACAUAAUCGAUCAAGCCAAUUCUCUCUUCAGAUCUAAGCCCUUUGAUAGCCCCACGUCUUCUAUUCUUUCACAAGCUUCAUCUAAAACCAUAUUAAGUAACACAUCUCGGAUAUGCCAGGCACCUAUGUUACCUUAAUAUAAAUUUUAUGGUAUUUAACUAGGUUAUUAGUUUCUUUUUUCCUCCAUUCCAAAAUCUAGUUAAAAUAGAGUAUAAGUAAUAUUUUUAUAUGCAUUAUUCAAUCGAUAAGUAACACAUAAUAUUUAGAUGAAAUUUAAAUAUUGAGAUCAAAAUAAUUAUAAUUAUCAAACCUAAACCAACUCUGCGAAUUUUUUCUCGUCAAUUAAACCUCCGCUAUCGAGGCAACUUUAUUGAGUAAAAAAUCUAUUCUCUAUGAAUAAUAGACCUUUAAAUUGAUUAAUUAAUGUUAUGGUGGACUCGUGACCCUAAGUUGAUUCCACAAUGGACAGGUGCUCAAAGAAACUGUAAGUCAAUGUCCUUUUCUUUGGUAGCUUUCGUCAUAAAAUAUUUGGAAACUUGACCAUUAGAAGUCUAAUUAUUACAGGAUGCCUUUAGCCAAGUCUUCUUGGCAGUUUCGUUGGAAUUAAAUUUUCCAAAAACAAAAUUUCAACAUAAUUUAGAUGAAACGCAACUUAAUUAACAAAGAAUUUUCAGAUUAAGCAAUGAUGAAUGAAAUUGAUUUUAAGGAGUCUAUAUAUUGACCUCAUCUCAAACUUCUUUUCCACCUUUUUUAAGUCCAGGUAACACGUCCUCUCUAUUUUCCUUCAAUGCAUAUAUACACCUUUCCAUUUAAGCCUCCACACUUCCUUCACGCAAGUCCUCUAAAAGAUAAAAAAUAUCUCUUCUGUUAUUCUUGUUAUUAUCACAAUUUUUUUUAAAUAAGUAUAUUGAAAUAAUCUAUAAGUCUGACUAGAAUCUCUUUUCAAUAUUAAUUUUACCAAAAAUAAAAUAAAAUAAACUAAUUUGGCAUAUACAAUUAAAAUCUUAUAAGUGAGUGCAACUGUACUGAUUUCAAAUGGUAAGAUAUCUUGAAUUGGUUAUAUGAACUCUCUUGGAAUUGAAUUUCAUUUAUAUUAGAGUUCGAGAGUAUUAAUUUGGUUUUUAUUUCAAGAAUUAUUCACACACAAAAAUAAAAGAAAGAGUAGUUUUACUUCUAGAUUCAAAUUUCACAUAUUGGAAAUUCAACUCAUUAGUGUAUUCAAUUCUCCUGCACAAAGGCAGAGUCUAGCAAAGAUUUGCUGAAUUAUAUCCACUUUUCCAUGCUGAUUAAGAAAAUUUGCUUCAAAUCGCAACGACCAUGUGAAUGAUUAACAUCUCAAAAGCGUAAUGAUGAUUUGUGUGUAGAAGAACUGUAGUUAAUGCAAGUUUAGUCAAGGUGUAUGGAAAAUUUAUCUUUUGAAUUUCAAAUUCCAAAAUUUCGGCUAAAUAAACCUAAUUCCGUGGUGACUCAACUAUGCCAGCAUCAAACGUCAUGACUACAUCACUAAAUUAGAGGCUUGUAAUUAAGUUUUUUUCACAACUGUUAAAAGGGUGGUGAUAUUUGUACCUUUGAAACUGCAUAAGCACAGCACUUCAAGAAAAAUAGUUUAAAAAAAUUCACAUUAUUUUUAAUUUUAAUUAUAAUUUUUAAAAAAGAAUAAAUUUAAAAAAUUAAUCAAUUAAAUCCUCACUAACUAUUUAAACUUAUGGCACAAAAUCUCAUGUUUUGGACAAUUUGGUCAGUUUAUGUUAUAAGAUAAAAUAGUCAAAUUAAAAUUAUGUUAAAACAACAUUAGCGAUCAACAAUAGUUAAGAGACUUAUGUAAAGAAAAUUAUCUAAUUGAUUUAUUAUUUAAAUUUUUUCUUCAUUUUAAAUUUUAAAAAAUACUGGCUUUUUUUUAAUCAAACUUACUAAUAUUUGUCAUCACCCUUUUUAAAACUAUCUCAAGAAAUUUAUCAUAUCGACUAUCAAAUUAUUUUAAAGUUGUGCUUAGUUGAUCUGUCAAUAUAUACAGUGACUGAAAGAUGAUGGAUAGUGUGAAUAUGUUAUUGGCCCCCAAAAAAAAAAAAAUUCAAUUAUUGAAGAAAUGUUAUGGGCUUAUCUGCAGGAAUCAUCAACAGGCGAGUAUUUUUUUCUUUGAUUGAUUGAAAAGGCUCAAUCUAAUUUGAUAUUAUAUUGCAUUACUGUAUACAUGUCUUCACAAAUUUUGAUGUUUAUUAAUAAUUGAAGUUUGUUUAUUAAACUUGACAAAUUGAAAGGGAUCAGAAGCUAUAAAAAUAUAUGCUAUAUCUGUAACCCCAAUGGAUGGUCUAUAGAGUGUGAAUGUAGAAUGGGUUAUGAAAUAAAAUUUUUAUCUUUAUCAACAAUGUAAGUGUACUAUAUAUAUAUAUAUAUAUAUAUAUAAGAAACGUACAUAACGAGAGCUGAUCGAUACAUAUUUAAAGAACUCCAACAGUGUAGAGGAUACAUAUUUUAAUUGUCAAUGUCGUUUGGCUAGGAAAAGAAUUAUAUGAAGUUAAAAUAUUUAUACAUAUCAAUUUUGUUAAAAUCUCGUAAAUUGUUUAAUAGUUUGAACUUGCUGGUCAAGGCUAAAUUUCUGGCUCCGCCACUAUUGAUCAUGAAGGCACAUUUGAGCCGCUCACGUCAACAUUAUCGUAACAGUAAUACUUAGAAGGGACAAACAAAAGCUUAAAGCAGCUGCAAAGGGUUAUAAAGAUCAUUAACAGAAUCUAUAAUUUGAAAAAUCAUUAGCCUUUAGAGAAAGAACUAAAAAGUUCAGUUCGAGAAACAUCCCACUUGGUGUAAUCAACACAAAGCAAAUCCAGAUUAGCCAAAGUAUCUGCUACUCGGUUACUCUCAUGACAAGUUCCUGAAUUGCAUCGAACUAAUAAGGUGUUGGCAGUUAAUCUAUCUAUUGCAUCCCUAUUGCUAAACAAAUUGACUACAAGCCUAGAGCCACUCUCAAGCCAAAGAUUAGAGCUCCCACGAGCUGCCCCUUGCUCAAUAACCACAACCGUUCAUUUGCAAUCUUAUUACAGUGGAGUCGGUUUUUUCGAGCGGGGUAGUGGAAGUGGAUUGAUAGCUAGAUAAACGCUAUAUAUCAUAUUCCAAAUGAUUCUCUAAUCCAAACAACUUUACAAAAGAGGUUUUGAUAUAUAAUUUAUUCUAAAGGAAUUAUAAUGUCUUUUUGAGACCUUUUUGUGUGUGACACUAAAAAUCACCUUAUAACCCACGCAAAUGGCAUUUAAAGCCAUUUUGAUUUUUAUAUACUUAUAAUCCAUGGCCCCUGCUUACCAGAGCAGGUGAGAGGUUGGUCUCACUCUAAUUAUAAAAGAAGAAUUUUUAUUGAAUAAUUGAACUUCAAUUAACAAUGAAAAGACCUCCCUAUUUAUAAUAGGACAAACUUAUCUCUCAAGUUAACUUAAAAGUGAAACUAAAUUACAAUUAUACUAAAAAUAAAAAACUAAAACACAUAUUAUAAUUGGCUCCAAUUAAAAAAUAAAAAUAUCAAUAGACUUAAAAUAACAAAAUCUUAAAAUUUUUAAAUAACGUCCUACAUCAUAAAUGAACUUCUCUAAAUAAAUAUUCUCAAGUAUGAAACCCUUGGAAAAAAAAAAUGCAUGAAUGUGUAGAAACAGUGAAAAAAAGAGAAAGAGAGGAGCAUACUGAAGAGAAAGAGAAUCAUAGACUUCACGUAAAGAAUCAAAGGGAAAGGUUAAGAAAAUAGAUCCUGAAAAUCCGGUAAUGAUAUAUCUUGUCGGCAAAUUUUUGUUGAUUAUUGAUUCCUAGUUAAUUAGCUUAGCACCAAAGGAUCCAGUAGAGUUAAAGAUUGAUUGAAUUGAGUUAAAAGAGUGUGCACAUCCACAACUUUUAGCUCAGUGGGGUCUAUUUUUGUGUUUGUCCAAAGAUUAGAGGCAUGCUUCACGGACACUAUCGUUUGUAGUGGCUGGAGGCUUCUGCGUUUUAUUUUAUGAGCAAAGAUGUAUGUUUAUAUGCAACAAGAGCCUGCAGUUCAUAUUGGUCAUGUUAAUUUGUCUCCAUGCAAGAGUCGUAUCUUUUAAGCUGCUUGAAAGCUUGACAAAGAAAUCAGAUUUUUUGAAUGGAACAACAUAUAUAUUUUUUUUCUUUUUCAUAUUAAUAUGUUACAAUUAAAAGAGUAUAGAUAUUUACUAUUAAAAAUCUAUUAGAAUUAAUCUACAAUAAUUUUAGAGUUAAAAGAAAUAUGAAAUCUCAGUAUAGGGAGCUGAGACUCAAUCUUGUGCCUAGGAGUAGCUUUAUGUAUAAGUGAAAAGGUAGUUGCCUAUAACUCCUUAUCUUAAAAAGGCCUCAUUUUUUGAGAAUUUUCUUAAUAAUUCUCUAAUUGAUAAAAUAUUUUUUUUGUAAAUUAUAUAUGGCAGGAAAUAGGAAGGCCUAUUAGACAUAUCUCUAAAUAAUAAUUAUCGUACAAUUAAGAAUUAUUCGUUUAUAAAAUCUAUAUUUGGUGACGUUAGUGUUAUAUAGAGUUAAUCAAUAAUAUCUAAUCAUUAAUUCAUUCAGU